UACGGAGGAUGCGAGCGUUAUCCGGAUUUAUUGGGUUUAAAGGGUGCGUAGGUGGUUGAUUAAGUCAGUGGUGAAAGUUUGUCGCUCAACGAUAAAAUUGCCAUUGAAACUGGUUAACUUGAGUAUGUUUGAGGUAGGCGGAAUGCGUAGUGUAGCGGUGAAAUGCAUAGAUAUUACGCAGAACUCCAAUUGCGAAGGCAGCUUACUAAACCAUAACUGACACUGAUGCA
rnacentral:rRNA from 1 species